CGGAUCGGAGUCUGNAACCCGACNCCGUGAAGCUGGAUUCGCUAGUAAUCGCGCAUCAGCCAUGGCGCGGUGAAUACGUUCCCGGGCCUUGUACACACCGCCCGUCAAGCCAUGGAAGCCGGGAGUGCCUGAAGUGUGCAGCCGCAAGGAGCGCCCUAAGGUAAAACCGGUGACUGGGGCUAAGUCGUAACAAGGUAAC
rnacentral:rRNA from 1 species